UAGAGUUUAUCAUGGCUCAGGACGAACGCUGGCGGCGUGCCUAAUACAUGCAAGUCGAGCGCAGGAAGCCGUCUGAACCCUUCGGGGGGACGACGGUGGAAUGAGCGGCGGACGGGUGAGUAACACGUAAAGAACCUGCCCAUAGGUCUGGGAUAACCACGAGAAAUCGGGGCUAAUACCGGAUGUGUCAUCGGACCGCAUGGUCCGCUGAUGAAAGGCGCUUCGGCGUCGCCCAUGGAUGGCUUUGCGGUGCAUUAGCUAGUUGGUGGGGUAACGGCCCACCAAGGCGACGAUGCAUAGCCGACCUGAGAGGGUGAUCGGCCACACUGGGACUGAGACACGGCCCAGACUCCUACGGGAGGCAGCAGUAGGGAAUCUUCCACAAUGGACGAAAGUCUGAUGGAGCAACGCCGCGUGAACGAUGAAGGCUUUCGGGUCGUAAAGUUCUGUUGUAAGGGAAGAACAAGUGCCGCAGGCAAUGGCGGCAC
rnacentral:rRNA from 1 species